rnacentral:rRNA from 1 species
UACCCGCAGCACAAGUGGUGGUCAUUAUUAUUGGGCCUAAAGCGUCCGUAGCUGGCCUGUUAGAUGCCUGGGUAAAUCGAUGCGCUCAACGCAUCGAACUCCGGGUAGACCGGCAGGCUUGGGACCGGGAGAGGCGUGAGCUACUCGAGGGGUAGGGGUAAAAUCCUGUAAUCCUUCGGGGAGGACCAGUGGCGAAGGCGUCACGCUAGAACGGCUCCGACAGUGAGGG